rnacentral:rRNA from 1 species
UACGUAGGGUGCAAGCGUUAAUCGGAAUUACUGGGCGUAAAGCGUGCGCAGGCGGUUUUGUAAGUCUGUCGUGAAAGCCCCGGGCUCAACCUGGGAAUUGCGAUGGAGACUGCAAGGCUUGAAUCUGGCAGAGGGGGGUAGAAUUCCACGUGUAGCAGUGAAAUGCGUAGAGAUGUGGAGGAACACCGAUGGCGAAGGCAGCCCCCUGGGUCAAGAUUGACGCUCAUGCACGAAAGCGUGGGGAGCAAACGGG